rnacentral:rRNA from 1 species
UACAGAGGGUGCGAGCGUUAAUCGGAAUUACUGGGCGUAAAGCGUGCGCAGGCGGUUUUGUAAGCCAGAUGUGAAAGCCCCGGGCUUAACCUGGGAAUGGCAUUUGGGACUGCAAGGCUUGAGUGCGGCAGAGGAGACUGGAAUUCCUGGUGUAGCAGUGAAAUGCGUAGAUAUCAUGAGGAACACCAGAGGCGAAGGCGGCUACCUGGACAGUUACUGACGCUCAGGCACGAAAGCGUGGGGAGCAAAAGGG